GGGGGCGUAUUGGUUUCGACGGGAUUGUUGAAGCUUGAGUAGCGGGUAGAGGAUUCUCGUUGGCCUCUUUAAAAAACGAGAAACUAAAAUAAACGCUAACGAAGAUAAUUACGCUUUAGCUGCUGCCUAAUAUAGGCAGCCCGUCAGUCCAGGGUUCCUGCGCCUUGGGUAGCUGGCGUCAUUAAGUCAGGCCUUUUGAGUGGGAAGGUUAAACUCUAGAACUGUCACAGUGGUAGCCUUGAGCUGUGAUGGAUUUUAAAGGCUACUGAUAUCCAAAGCCUGCCCAUGGGCGUUGGGUUGAGGGAAUUUUUAAAACAUGGGCUGCACCCGGAGAAGCUCUUGUGGAUACGAUUUCGGACAGGGGUUCGACUCCCCUCGCCUCCACCA
rfam:Clostridium thermocellum ATCC 27405, complete genome.